GGGAAUGUGGCUUAGUGGUAGAGUUCUUGCCUAACAUGCAUGAAGCCCUGAGUUCAAUUCCUCAGUACCA
rnacentral:tRNA from 1 species